AGAUUACAGAGCCCUUCUUGUCAUGCAGUUAAAAUCAAGAUCCACUUGCACGUUCACUCACACAUGCUACUUCUACUCUAGAAGUACGCAUCCACAUACAUCCACUCACUUCUAUCUCCAAAUUCACCUAAAAUUAUUCUACUCCUAUCAAGAAGAGAAUAGCCAAAAAUAUUUUCCUAUCUCUGUUAUUCCCUAUGAAAUAAAUGCUCCAGUUAUUUUAGUUACUACCACUUGCUACAAUAUUCCAGGAGGGUGAGUGCUCUAAAAAAAUGAUGAAUAUGAGGAAAUAAAAAGGGGCAAGUGCCCGGAACCUCAAAAAAGGAAAAAUACGAGGAAAUAAAAAGGGGCAAGUGCCUGGAACCUCAAAGAAAAGAAAAAGUGAGACGAGAGGUAAAAAUAGACAAGUGUCCGACAAUAGAAUUAUGGGUUCAAGAUACCCACCUGAGAGAAAAGAAAAAUAAAAUAUAGAGCAUCUCAUUCUCCUCAAAAAGCUUCAAAGUGGAAGAAACGUAUGUAUCCCCUUAAAAGAGCAAAAGUAGAAUUAGACUUUCACCAUUGUUAUCACCAUACACCAUUCAUUCGCCACACAUGCACAUCUUGAUUUGACUUAUUGACUUGUUUCUCUGGAUCCAUGGUUUGACUAUGCAAUAAAUGUCUUGUAAGUAUGUAUGCUUUAUCUCCCACCUAUGAGCUUCAGAUAUCAAAACCUUAUUAGAGUAGGGUGAGAGAGAAGGCAAUAUCACUAUGUCUCAUACCAAAAAUACCACAUACUUUGAGAGAAGGCAUAUACCAUUACUGCUGUGGAAAGGAUCCAGAAAUACCACAAAAGAGAGAUUAGAGAGAGUCAUACAAGGAAUCUCUGAGUUUUAUUUGAAAAUCUACAAAAACUCCAGAGCUAUAGUUAAUCAAAGAACAAGAGACAUGGUGCUUGACU
rnacentral:lncRNA from 1 species